rnacentral:rRNA from 1 species
AUUGAACGCUGGCGGCAGGCCUAACACAUGCAAGUCGAACGCGUGGCGGACGGGUGAGUAAUGUCUGGGAAACUGCCCGAUGGAGGGGGAUAACUACUGGAAACUGUCGCUAAUACCGCAUCCCAUCGGAUGUGCCCAUAUGGGAUUAGCUAGUAGGUUGGGUAACGGCUCACCUAGGCGACGCUCCCUCGCUGGUCUGAGAGGAUGACCAGCCAAACUGGAACUGAGACACGGUCACGACUCCGACGGGAGGCAGCAUGGGGGAAUAUUGCACAAUGGGCGCAAGCCUGAUGCAGCCAUGCCGCGUGUAUGAAGAAGGCCUUCGGGUUGUAAAGUACUUUCAGCGAGGAGGCGUUACUCGCAGAAGAAGCACCGGCUAACUCCGUGCCAGCAGCCGCGGUAAUAC